CCUACGGGUGGCAGCAGUGGGGAAUAUUGGACAAUGGGGGAAACCCUGAUCCAGCGACGCCGCGUGAGUGAAGAAGUAUUUCGGUACGUAAAGCUCUAUCAGCAGGAAAGAAAAUGACGGUACCUGACUAAGAUGCCCCGGCUAACUACGUGCCAGCAGCCGCCGUCAUACGUAGGGGGCAAGCGUUAUGCGGAUUUAUGGGGUGAAAAGGGAGCGUAGACGGUAGCGCAAGUCUGGAGUGAAAUGCCGGGGAUCAACCCCGGAACUGCUCUGGAAACUGUGGAGCUGGAGUGCAGGAGAGGUGAGCGGAAUUCCAGGUGGAGCGGUGAAAUGCGUAGAUAUAAGGAGGAACACCGGCGGCGAAGGCGGCUUACUGGACUGUAACUGACGUUGAGGCUCGAAGGCAUGGGGAGCAAACAGGAUUAGAUACCCCAGUAGUC
rnacentral:rRNA from 1 species